GCCUUCUUAGCUCAGUUGGUAGAGCGCCUCCAUGGUAAGGAGGAGGUCUCCAGUUCAAAUCUGGAAGAAGGCUCCA
rnacentral:tRNA from 1 species